CUGAAUUCUUUAGUUGCCAUGCAUUUUUCUGAGCCUUUGCACUGACCCGGCUGCUCAGCUUCUCCAAUGGAGCAGCCUUAGUUAGAGCUGGGUUGGAGGGAGUGCAGACUGAACCUGUCUUCAGCCACCCGUUCAUGUCAAAAUCCCUACAUUUCCUGAAGGCUUUAAAUUCCUUUUUCCUGGGCAUCCUCGAACCAGCUUAGUGUGGAGUGACCCAGCCAUAAUUUACAUUUAAGCCUAAUUUGAAUUCAUAAGCAAGGCAUUCCUCAGUCUGUUUCACCUGAGGGGCUCUAUCCAGCUGGCAUCCUUCGAGCAUGACUAAUGGUGCAGGCUGUGCAUGAAGCACAGCAGCAGCAGCAGCUGCUGCUGCUGCCCACAUGAAAAAAUGUUUCCCAGGGGCUGAGAUCAAAGGUAUUGCAACAGGAUCACAGAUGGUGCAAAAAUGGUUUCUGGAAUGCAAAUAAAAAGGGGCAGGAAGCCAGCCUCCAUUGCUUCCUUACUUGUACCACUCUGUGUGGUCCCCUGCUGACUGGGCUGCUUUCCACAAGCCAUAAAACAACCUGAGGACUGCCCUGAUUUAGGCUUGUUUAAAAUUCUCCUUGAUUGCAGUUAUUGGUGAGAAGUGCAGCAGUGCAGGGUGGCAAAACCCAGCCCCAUUGUAACUAAGAAUCUGCACCCAAGUGUGUUGAGUUU
rnacentral:lncRNA from 1 species